rnacentral:lncRNA from 1 species
GAGCAGGCAGGGUCCUACUGGCAUCUAGUGGGUAGAGGCCAGCUUGCUAAACAUCCUAUAGUCACAGGUUGCCCCCCUAGUAGAGAAUUACGAGGCUCAAACGUCAAUAGCGCUGAGGUUGAGACACCCAGCUGUAAGAGAAUGAAGCCUUUGGGAGGUAAGAAGCUGAGAGUGGAAGGUGAUGUGACCAUGGUUGCAUUUUGAAAAUUUCCUCUGGCAGCAGUCUGGAAAGUGGAACGGUCUACUGCUACUAAUAGCAACAGCAGCAGCUGCUGCCUCUUUAUUGAGUACCUUCUGUGAUGCGCUAGACACUAUGCCAAGCCCUUUAUGAGCAUCCUCUCACUGUAUCCCACAGAAGCCCCAUUUUAUAGAUGAAUGUAGUGAGUGCCGGAGAGGGCAACUCAUUCACCUGAGAUCGCCCAGCUGGAAAGUGGAAGCCUAUGAUGGUUCUUUAGCCAGGCAGCUGCUUCCUCCUGGAAGAGCAGGGACAGGCUUCCAGCUGGUCCAGCUGCAGCUCAGAGACCCUCAUUCCAUCCUUCCUGUGGACUAAGGGGCUGAUUCCUGUUGAGCAUCAUGUCUCCCAGCCACAAACUGUUUGGACAGCGUACUUCUCUCCCACAAAUGACACGAGAAUGACAUGCCUAAUCACGCCUGCCGCAUGGAAUUAUUCUGGAGAGUAAACAGUAACAGCGCCCCAAUUUCCUUUGUGGAGCCACCUCUCCAUCAGUUUCAGUCCAUAUCAUCUUCUGCGGUUGAUGCUCUGCCCACUCCAGGUCACAUGACCUCACGUGGCCAAUCAGCAUGUUCCAGUCCAGUCCGCGGAAUCCGUGACUGGUUCCCCACAGGCACCGGCCCAGUCUCCCCACUGAUGCUCAAUCCUACGCGAUCUGAGUGUUUUGGAGGAAGAAAAUCUCUUUCCACUGGAAUUGCUAGCUUAGAAGGUCUGUGUUUGACCAGGGAUCACCUCACAAGGACAGCCAGUCUGAGAGUAAAGCCAACAGAGAAGAAAGUAGAACCCAGAAAAGUCGCGACGUGUCCUGAAAAGGUCAUGUGAGUCUCUAGAUCCACCCGUGCCUGAAGCUUGUGCACCCUUGGACUUUUCACAUACACAAACCAAUAAAUUCCAGUUUUUGCUUAAGCUGCUUUCAACUGAGGUUUCUGACACUUGCAACCAAGGCGUUUCAACAGCUAAUCCUCAG